rnacentral:rRNA from 1 species
AUGCACGCUGGCGGCGUGCCUAAUACAUGCAAGUCGAGCGAACAGACGAGGAGCUUGCUCCUCUGACGUUAGCGGCGGACGGGUGAGUAACACGUGGAUAACCUACCUAUAAGACUGGGAUAACUUCGGGAAACCGGAGCUAAUACCGGAUAAUAUAUUGAACCGCAUGGUUCAAUAGUGAAAGACGGUUUUGCUGUCACUUAUAGAUGGAUCCGCGCCGCAUUAGCUAGUUGGUAAGGUAACGGCUUACCAAGGCAACGAUGCGUAGCCGACCUGAGAGGGUGAUCGGCCACACUGGAACUGAGACACGGUCCAGACUCCUACGGGAGGCAGCAGUAGGGAAUCUUCCGCAAUGGGCGAAAGCCUGACGGAGCAACGCCGCGUGAGUGAUGAAGGUCUUCGGAUCGUAAAACUCUGUUAUUAGGGAAGAACAAAUGUGUAAGUAACUAUGCACGUCUUGACGGUACCUAAUCAGAAAGCCACGGCUAACUGCGUG